AGUGAACGCUGGCGGCGUGCCUAAUACAUGCAAGUCGAACGAAGUUGCGCACGGGUGAGUAAUAUAUAGAUAAUCUGCCCUACAUAGCUGAACACCAGUUGGACACGGCUGCUAAUUACUCAGAGUGUAGGAUGAGACUAUAUCGUAUCAGCUAGUUGGUAAGGUCAUGGCUUACCAAGGCUAUGACGCGUAACUGGUCUGAGAGGAGGAUCAGUCACGUUGGAACAGAAACAAGGUACAAACUCCUACGGGAGGCAGCAGUAAGGAAUAUUGCACAAUGGGGUAAACACUGACGAAGCAACGCCGCAUGAAGGAUGACACUUUUCGGAGCGUAAACACCUUUUAUCAGAAAAGCGGUACCUGCUGAAUAAGCACCGACUGACUCCGUGCCAGCAACCACGAUAAUAC
rnacentral:rRNA from 1 species